CUGGGAGGCAACAGGAAAGUGACUCAUGAGACAUUGCAUCCUCCUCUGUGCAGGCAACAUGGUGACUUGAAGAACAGGCACUGGACCACACAGAAGCUGUGGGACUGACAGCAAAAUGAUAGAGGCUGACAGUGACCAAGCUCUUGGCUGGUUAAGGUCCUGACUGAAGUCAUCUGAGCUCCUCUUAGGAGUUCCUCAGCUAUCACUGACCUGUGGACACCAGCAAAUAGAGCUCUGCUCCAUCCAGAGCUGUCAUACUGUGCCAGGGUUUUAAUAGUGAUGGCUGAAAACAGCAUCCAGUGUUGACAGAACGAGAUGCCUCUCCAGGAGCAAACACGGGAAGGAUCUACCUUUCUCCAUGAACCCUAGAUAAGUCACACGGUUGGCUUAAACGAGACGCUUCACGCUUGGAUGGCUGCAGUGAGGGGAGCACUCCUGCAGUGUGGGGAGCUGCACGGAGCCUGUCACCAAGUUCCUCAGGGACAUGUGUGGAGUGCUGCUGGCAGGCAGUGAAGACCUCUGGGUGGCAGUGACUGCUGGGUGAGCUGUGUAAGCAGAUCUGUGGUGUGUCUCUUUCCCUUUGUGUCUCCUGAGGGGUAAAAAGCUCAUCGGAGGAGACAGCUGGUGUAUCUGAGAAU
rnacentral:lncRNA from 1 species